UACAGAGGGUGCAAGCGUUAAUCGGAAUUACUGGGCGUAAAGCGUGCGUAGUCGGUUAUUUAAGUCGGAUGUGAAAUCCCCGGGCUCAACCUGGGAAUUGCGAUGGAGACUGCAAGGCUAGAAUCUGGCAGAGGGGGGUAGAAUUCCACGUGUAGCAGUGAAAUGCGUAGAGAUGUGGAGGAACACCAGUGGCGAAGGCGGCUGCCUGGGCCUGGCCUGACGCUGAGGCGCGAAAGCGUGGGGAGCGAUCCGG
rnacentral:rRNA from 1 species